GCCCUGGCUCAGUGUUAGAGCACCUGCCUUGUGUGCAGAAAGCCCCCGGUUCGAUCCCUGGCAUUGCA
rnacentral:tRNA from 1 species